AGAUUCUUAGAUCACAUCUCUUGCCUACACCCGAGGUUCCAGUUCCUGGGCCAUCACCUUGCCGCUACUCUUUUUAUCAACUCUCAGAGGUUGAAUUGAGCCUUGGCGACAGAUGAAGAUUUUAGUAGAAGGCACAGUGGAAGAAGUGACAACGAUGGAGAAUGAUGUGGAGUGGAAAUUUAGGAAACACAAAAAUCAUAGUGAGUUUCUGGAAUUGUUUGGUAUAGGAGUCAUGACUCAAAGGACAAGUAAGAUUUUGGAAGAGCUGAGAUAAUGUGGAAGAAGCGCAGGCAGACAGCAAAGAGGAAGUCAAAGAGAAGACAUGACUGAAGGUUAACCAGUAAGAGAGAGGGAGCCUGUGGAGAGUAAGGUGUUGUUGAGACCAUCUGGACAGUAUAUGUAACCGAACCCAGUCAAGGCUGCUAUAUACACUCUUGAGAUUCCAGCGGUUGCAGAGAUCUACUCAACUUACAGCCACUCAAGACAAGCCUUGUGUGUUAGUUCCCUUGCUUAU